rnacentral:rRNA from 1 species
UACGUAGGGGGCAAGCGUUGUCCGGAUUUAUUGGGCGUAAAGAGCGUGUAGGCGGCCAGAUAGGUCCGUUGUGAAAACUCGAGGCUCAACCUCGAGACGCCGAUGGAAACCAUUUGGCUAGAGUCCGGAAGAGGAGAGUGGAAUUCCUGGUGUAGCGGUGAAAUGCGCAGAUAUCUGGAGGAACACCGGUGGCGAAGGCGGCAUCCUGGACCGACACUGACGCUGAUGAGCGAAAGCCAGGGGAGCAAACGGG